rnacentral:lncRNA from 1 species
CAGCACACCUCAGUCCGCACCAGCCACCUUUCAAGUGCUCGCUGGUCCCAUAGUGGCUAUCGUAUUAAGCUGCGCAUUUCUUGUGUAUGUGUGAGCUGUUGCCAAAACAUGACAUCAAAUUCAGUGUUCUUGGAAGCCCUCUUCAAAGAACACUGAUUGUGUUGCAGUCAGGCAACGCAAAACAUGAGGCACGGCCCUUUUCUUCAAGGAGUUUGCGGUUCGGUUGAGAAAAUAGACACCCACAGAUAAGUAGUAUUUUAAAUGGAUGCAAUUUGGGCGAUAGUAAAGAUAACUGGGAGUAUAUGAUUGACAGUCAGAUGACUGAUCAUUAUCGUUUCGAAUUCAAGGGAGGGCUAUCUUCAGGCUCAUGCAGGAGGGGAAGAUUGGGCCUGGUCUUGAAAGAUGGAGUUGAAAACUUACAGAGUCCUGAGGCUUUCAGACUGAAAAAGGCUUUCUUCUGUCACUGACAAUCGCCACCAUGAUCCAUAGUCUUUUCUUGAUCAACUCCU